GGACUCGGGGGGAAAGUAUGCUCGCAAGAGUGAAACUUAAAGAAAUGACGGAAGGGCACCACCAGAUGUGGGGCCUGCGGCUAAUUUGACUCAACACGGGAAAACUUACCAGGACAAGACAUAAUAAGGAUAGACAGAUUGAAGUCUUCUUGAUUUUAUGGAUGGUGGUGCAUGGCCGUCUUAGUUGGUGGAGUGAUUUGUCUGGUUAAUUCCGAUAACGAACGAGACCUCAACCUGCUAACUAGUUGGAGUCUUUUUCUUUGUGCUGGUUAGUGCACAUUCGUUAAUGCUUGCGAGCUAUCAAUUCGUUGCCUUUAACGACGACUUAUGGAUUUUCUCGUGAGUGUCGAUGGGUGUGCUCUGCUAGUGCAUCUAUAGGAAAGAUUUUUUGCGGGCACGCUGCCGAGCGCGAUUGCGUUCUGCGCGGUUGUGCUUCGGUUUGUUUGUCCGAUCAACUUCUUAGAGGAACACUCUGUGUGUAGCAGGUGGAAGCUUGAGGCAAUAACAGGUCUGUGAUGCCCCUAGAUGUUCUGGGCUGCACGCGCGCUACACUGGUGCAUUCAACAAGUAUACAACCUGUGCCGAAAGGUUUGGGUAAUCUUUUGAAAAUGCAUCGUGAUUGGGAUAGAUGAUUGAAAAUUUUCAUCUUGAACGAGGAAUAUCUAGUAAGCGCAAGUCAUCAACUUGCAUUGAUUACGUCCCUGCCCUUUGUACACACCGCCCGUCGCUUCUACCGAUGAAUGGUCCGGUGAAUGCAGUGGAUUGAAACCAUAGCGUGUGUUUGUUUUCGGACGAAUAUCUCGCUUAGCGUUCCGAGAGGCUGUAUAAACCUUAACAUUUAGAGGAAGGAGAAGUCG
rnacentral:rRNA from 1 species